GACGAACGCUGGCGGCGUGCUUAACACAUGCAAGUCGAACGGAAAGGCCCUGCUUUUGUGGGGUGCUCGAGUGGCGAACGGGUGAGUAACACGUGAGUAACCUGCCCUUGACUUUGGGAUAACUUCAGGAAACUGGGGCUAAUACCGGAUAGGAGCUCCUGCUGCAUGGUGGGGGUUGGAAAGUUUCGGCGGUUAGGGAUGGACUCGCGGCUUAUCAGCUUGUUGGUGGGGUAGUGGCUUACCAAGGCUUUGACGGGUAGCCGGCCUGAGAGGGUGACCGGCCACAUUGGGACUGAGAUACGGCCCAGACUCCCACGGGAGGCAGCAGUGGGGAAUAUUGCACAAUGGGCGGAAGCCUGAUGCAGCAACGCCGCGUGCGGGAUGACGGCCUUCGGGUUGUAAACCGCUUUCGCCUGUGACGAAGCGUGAGUGACGGUAAUGGGUAAAGAAGCACCGGCUAACUACGUG
rnacentral:rRNA from 1 species